UACAGAGGAUGCAAGCGUUAUCCGGAAUGAUUGGGCGUAAAGCGUCUGUAGGUGGCUUUUUAAGUCCGCCGUCAAAUCCCAGGGCUCAACUCUGGACAGGCGGUGGAAACUACCAAGCUGGAGUACGGUAGGGGCAGAGGGAAUUUCCGGUGGAGCGGUGAAAUGCGUAGAGAUCGGAAAGACCACCAAUGGCGAAGGCACUCUACUGGGCCACUACUGACACUGAGAGACGAAAGCUAGGGGAGCAAAUGGG
rnacentral:rRNA from 1 species